CCCCAGGCCACUGAAGGGAUGGGGGGGCUGGCCACUUUCUGCGGGAAGUAGAAUGAUCUGACGCCAGCCUGCUCUGCUCCCCUGGCUCCCAGGCUUAGAGGGAGGGGGGAAUCACCCCCCAGC